CAGAGUCUGCCCCUGCACACUCACACACGAAUAUCGCUUCGAAAAACAACGCUGACAUCGAAAGUCAACCAAGAUGAAGGCCGUUCUGAUCCUUUUCACCCUGGCAGCUUCCGCGCUCGCUUAUUUCGAUGUAGAGAACAUGAAGAGUGAUGACGGAUGGACAUGUGGGAUAACAUACGAUAACGAAAGUAAUGAGGUCUACACCAGCUCCAAGUACGUGGAGAGGGACGGGCUUUUGACCUUCGUGAGAAUGUUAGGAUGCCUUGAGGAGAGGAGGAUCGGAACCCCAACUGGAGAAGAUUUCCAAGAAGGUGGUCUCGGGUCCCCCACAAUCAGGUGGCGAACAUGUAGCGACCCAACUGGUAUCUGUACCGGCGAAAUCUGGGAGAUGAAUCAAAAUUAAGCAGACAGACCAAUUUUUGUAAUUUUGAGAACUGGAAUGUUUGUUAUGAAAUAUGGCAAAAAAGUUUCUCACUAUUAUACUGA